AAGUCGUAACAAGGUAUCCGUAGGUGAACCUGCGGAUGGAUCAUUCAUGUGAGGAUGCACAUGCGCACGCACGUCGUGCGCUGUGCAAUCCGCCUGUCCUGUGCAACGUUAUACAUACAUACAUACAGUGUAGUGUGCAUGCGCACGCGGUCAUUGCGACCAACAUGCAUGCAUGCACGCUUUUUCACACUGUGCACAUGCUCAUGCAUUUAUUCAUUCAUUCAUUCACUACUCGUACUGACAUUACAUACAAAAGAACCUUGAAAACUGCCAGCAAUGGAUCCCUCGGUUCUC
rnacentral:misc_RNA from 1 species